CCACAGCCAUCACAAUGAUACUGUUUCUUCGAUGUAUCAUCAUCAAACAGCUUGCAAGUCUCACAGAAGAACCUUCCCAUGCAUACCCCACAGUUAGUACAAAAUUGUUGAACCCCUUGUUCAGUGCCGCACAGUGAACAUAUCACCUGUCUCACUUCAUGGUGCGGCAUGUCAUGUCUAAGCUUCUGGUCAACAUUGAUAUUAUUCUUUGACUCAUUAUGACAGUGACGGCAAUCAAAGAUCUCAUCACAACAAGGGGCUCUAAUAAGGCACCUUCUACGAUAAUGUGGACAUCCAUACUUCAUAUAACCUUAUCUAGCAUUUCCAAAAUCUUCAUAUUGUUUGAUUCUUCUGAA
rnacentral:misc_RNA from 1 species